rnacentral:rRNA from 1 species
AGGGUUUGAUUCUGGCUCAGGACGAACGCUGGCGGCGUGCCUAAUACAUGCAAGUCGAGCGAUGAUUAAAGAUAGCUUGCUAUUUUUAUGAAGAGCGGCGAACGGGUGAGUAACGCGUGGGAAAUCUGCCGAGUAGCGGGGGACAACGUUUGGAAACGAACGCUAAUACCGCAUAACAAUGAGAAUCGCAUGAUUCUUAUUUGAAAGAAGCAAUUGCUUCACUACUUGAUGAUCCCGCGUUGUAUUAGCUAGUUGGUAGUGUAAAGGACUACCAAGGCGAUGAUACAUAGCCGACCUGAGAGGGUGAUCGGCCACACUGGGACUGAGACACGGCCCAG